rnacentral:snoRNA from 1 species
CAGUACAUGUCUCAGACCGUGACUGGCUGUGGCCAGGGGAUCCUGGAGUGCAUGCAAGAGCAACCUGGGAGACUGACCACAGGUCAGCACAAGACCUGCAGCUGCCACUUGCCUUUCCUAUAAUG